rnacentral:misc_RNA from 1 species
UCGUGAGGCUCCGGCCUCUUCGAGGGAGAAUCCUUGCCUUUUCGAGCACCUGUUUGUUUCCUCGGCAGGCCUGCCUGCCAAUGGGGACCCUUUAAACUCUUGCAAAUAACCUGAAAUGAAUCGUCUGAAUAAAUUUAAUAAAUCA